UUAAAUUGAAGAGUUUGAUCAUGGCUCAGAUUGAACGCUGGCGGCAGGCCUAACACAUGCAAGUCGAACGGUAACAGGAAGCAGCUUGCUGCUUCGCUGACGAGUGGCGGACGGGUGAGUAAUGUCUGGGAAACUGCCUGAUGGAGGGGGAUAACUACUGGAAACGGUGGCUAAUACCGCAUAACGUCGCAAGACCAAAGAGGGGGACCUUCGGGCCUCUUGCCAUCAGAUGUGCCCAGAUGGGAUUAGCUUGUUGGUGAGGUAACGGCUCACCAAGGCGACGAUCCCUAGCUGGUCUGAGAGGAUGACCAGCCACACUGGAACUGAGACACGGUCCAGACUCCUACGGGAGGCAGCAGUGGGGAAUAUUGCACAAUGGGCGCAAGCCUGAUGCAGCCAUGCCGCGUGUAUGAAGAAGGCCUUCGGGUUGUAAAGUACUUUCAGCGGGGAGGAAGGUGUUGUGGUUAAUAACCGCAGCAAUUGACGUUACCCGCAGAAGAAGCACCGGCUAACUCCGUGCCAGCAGCCGCGGUAAUACGGAGGGUGCAAGCGUUAAUCGGAAUUACUGGGCGUAAAGCGCACGCAGGCGGUCUGUCAAGUCGGAUGUGAAAUCCCCGGGCUCAACCUGGGAACUGCAUUCGAAACUGGCAGGCUUGAGUCUUGUAGAGGGGGGUAGAAUUCCAGGUGUAGCGGUGAAAUGCGUAGAGAUCUGGAGGAAUACCGGUGGCGAAGGCGGCCCCCUGGACAAAGACUGACGCUCAGGUGCGAAAGCGUGGGGAGCAAACAGGAUUAGAUACCCUGGUAGUCCACGCCGUAAACGAUGUCUACUUGGAGGUUGUGCCCUUGAGGCGUGGCUUCCGGAGCUAACGCGUUAAGUAGACCGCCUGGGGAGUACGGCCGCAAGGUUAAAACUCAAAUGAAUUGACGGGGGCCCGCACAAGCGGUGGAGCAUGUGGUUUAAUUCGAUGCAACGCGAAGAACCUUACCUGGUCUUGACAUCCACGGAACUUUCCAGAGAUGGAUUGGUGCCUUCGGGAACCGUGAGACAGGUGCUGCAUGGCUGUCGUCAGCUCGUGUUGUGAAAUGUUGGGUUAAGUCCCGCAACGAGCGCAACCCUUAUCCUUUGUUGCCAGCGGUCCGGCCGGGAACUCAAAGGAGACUGCCAGUGAUAAACUGGAGGAAGGUGGGGAUGACGUCAAGUCAUCAUGGCCCUUACGACCAGGGCUACACACGUGCUACAAUGGCGCAUACAAAGAGAAGCGACCUCGCGAGAGCAAGCGGACCUCAUAAAGUGCGUCGUAGUCCGGAUUGGAGUCUGCAACUCGACUCCAUGAAGUCGGAAUCGCUAGUAAUCGUGGAUCAGAAUGCCACGGUGAAUACGUUCCCGGGCCUUGUACACACCGCCCGUCACACCAUGGGAGUGGGUUGCAAAAGAAGUAGGUAGCUUAACCUUCGGGAGGGCGCUUACCACUUUGUGAUUCAUGACUGGGGUGAAGUCGUAACAAGGUAACCGUAGGGGAACCUGCGGUUGGAUCACCUCCUUACCUUAAAGAAGC
rnacentral:rRNA from 2 species